ACCACAGUGAUGACACGGGGCCCCAUUGUGGGCGGAACUGUGGCGCCCCAGGGUUCCACCGUUGCCUGGUGCUAGUCUGCGUCCACAGGCAGUUGCAGGCACUCGUGCUCCUGAUCUGGCUCACAGAGCCCGAACUAUCCGACUCUCACCAGUACCCCAGUGUAUAAAGUGUAGGUGCUCACACAGCGACAGGUCACAGCAAGUGAGGGUGAAUUCAGCCCUGUUGUUUAAGUCCAGAUUUACCAGAGAUCACAGCACUUUUAGGCUGGAGUACACAGAGAGUUUAUGCAGCAAUGGAACUGGGAGUAGACUGCAAACAAGCAGCUUAUUGCCAAGGACAUGUGAAACCUGUUAUAUUGGUCAUUCUGGAUCCUAUUCAAGCACAUACUGUUACUAGAUUUCAUUGUUUAUCUGAACUCUGAAAUUAAAGUCUGGCAGGAGUAAAAAAAGUCACUCAAAAUACAGAGGGCAAAGGGACUGGUCAUAACCAAAUGCAGCAGUGUUGAUACAAAAUUGCUCCUGUUGUCAGACACAUCUAACCUGCAUAAGAGUGAUUAGUUUGGAGAAAAGUUCUGUAGAGAUAUAGAAGAUUCCAGGCCUAAUGAAAUGAUUGAUGCAAGCUUUUCAGUUAUUCAAAGAGGUCUGAUGCUGGAAUUAACUAAUCACAUCUAUUUACCAAACCUAAAACUCAAAGUGGCUUUAUGGGGUGUUUCCACUCAGCUCUCCUGUUCAAAGAGAACUAGUUUGAUGUCUUGGGCCUCCUGUCCCUAUGGUGACAUGUGGAUAUGACAGCUACUCAGUCUGCAAACCUGACCCGGAUACUGGAUGAGAUGCUUUGCCUUCCCCUUGGAAUCCCGAUUUCCUCCUGUCUUUAACUCCUGUGUAAAGGCUUUUAUGGAGCAGGGCAGAGGGCAACACAUGGAUUUACAGUGCCAUCCCAACUGGACACUUUUCAGAUUUCCUGUCUCAUCCAACAUGGCCAGAGAGGUUUAGAGAAACACUUCAAGCACAUUAAUUUUUCCUACUGAAUACAUUUAUGAUGACAUCAGAGAGAAGAGAAAAAUAACAGUUUGGAUUUAACUAGCUGCAAGAAACUCAAGUCCGAGCAGUCUGUUCCCUGAACAACUUGGUGAUUCUGUUGAAAUCAGCCUAUUGGACCGUGCUUGCCAACUUUGCUCCAGAAAAUGCUCUUCACAGAAUUCUAGGACUAAAAGGAUAGUGAAGGCCAGCCAUCUGCCCUCCAGCUUUACAGGUGAAGAAACCAAGUUUCUACUCUUCAUCAAAACUUCCAUAGUUGCCUGAUUUUACUGAGUAUUCUUGUCUCAAUCUAGUAAACUGAGUUAUGCUACGGCACAAAUUAUUGUGAACUGCCUAAUACAUCAACUCACCUGAGAAAAUUGCAUCUAUCAAAGAAACUAGAAAGGCAAAUAGUUUCUUCCUUAAAGGGAUAAUUAGAGGAAGGAGAGAGUCAGUCAGUCUGGUAGGAAAGCAAAGGUCUUCCUGGUAUUACUUGUUCAGUUCUACUGCUCAGUCAACUGCUUCACCAUCUACCAAUAACGCUGUCUGGGUACACAGAGGCUAAGAAGGCAAUGAGUUCUGCCUGGAUGUACUUACAGGUCACCGUGAAUGAGUCCAUAGAUCUGUGGCAUGCUCAGAUGAUAGAUUCCUCUCAAAAUCACUAUGAGGAGAAUCACCACAAAAGCUGGAAGGCCCCAACUCAGAAGGAAAAACAGCAGAUAUCGCCGCUCUGUAUGUUCAUCAUUCAUCACCAGCACAUACCAGAAAUUCACAGACUAAGGAAGGAAACAGAACAUAAAAUGAACAAGUUCUGAUCUAAUGGCACAGGACACAAACUCACCUGGCUUGGACAAAGAGUUAUUGACUAACAAAGGGCUAGCUAGCAUUACUUGAUAAUUAUUUUUGGUUUGAUUUUUUUUCAUUAGUUCACAUUUUCAUUCCCUCAUCCACCCAAGAAAUUCAGGAUACCUGCAAAUCUUGAAACACUGAAAAAUAUUUAUUGUACUUUUUAUUUUCCUUAGUUUGCUUUGAUUUAUUCUCAGCUAUAAUCAUCUGUGAUUGUUCUGUGCAUGUGUCUUUUUUUUUAUUUUU